rnacentral:lncRNA from 1 species
GAGUAACUCUUGUUUUAUAAUUUAUAUAGAACUUGAAAGAGUAAGGGAUUACCUGCGAAAAUAAUGAGACCAUCAGAGGCAACCCUGGCCAACUCAAGCAGAGUCUUGUUCAGGUAUUUUGGAGAUAAGUAAUCAAGUGCAUCAGACACAAUAACAAGAGAAAAAGACUUUGGCUUAUAGGGAAGAGGGUACUUGAUAUCUGCCACACGUACAAUCCCUUUGCCCACAAGACUCUUGCAACUUUCUUCAACAUCCUCUAUAUCAUAUGGUUCCACACCCCAGGCUUCAGUAUCCUCUUCUUUCAAAAGUUUAGAGACAACUGAACAGGUAUCGGGUCCUACAUGCAAAACCUUGUGCAUGCUGUCCCCAUAUGCCUUCUUCAAAAAUGGUAUUGCCCUCUGAACUUCUAGACUGCAUGUAUAGUCACCUACAAAGAUAACAAGAAAUAAUUGAUUUUCAGAACAUUACACUCAAUGAAAACACACCCUUAACAGAGCAUGGCAAAUCCAUUAUAAUCAUAAACUUUCAGUCUUCCAUUUAUCACAGAAGAUGCAAACCAUAUCUAACUAAUAAAACCACCUCUGAUAAUCCCUUUUAUUCCUCGUGCCAAAAUUAAAUAAAAUCCCACCUUAUCUUUCAACUUUCCUUCCUCUAAGAAGUUAAAAGUAUCAUGGAAACCCCUAUACUAAGAGUCAUAUUGCAUUUUGCUCCCUCUACUAAAAAAUAGGCAAAUUAGUCACUGUUUAUUCGAUCAAAGAGCAAAUUGGUCUUUUCUUUUAAAAAUUUCAUCCCUUUGUAUUGUUAAAAACUAACAUGGAUAAAAGAAUAACUAGAUAGCGACACAUACGUGUACGUCCUGUUGACGUACAAGAACUAGUUUUUAAAGGUAAAAAUAGAUGAAAUUUUUUAUAAAAGGACCAAUUUGCUCUUUGAUUUAACGUAUAAGGACUAAUUUGCCCCUUUUUUUUCGUAUAGGGGCCAAAAUGAAAUCCAACUUCUAGUAUAGGGGCUUCUAUGAUACUUUUAACCCUCUAGAAAGCACUUCAGGAGAAGAUUAUGACAAAUUAUAAGAGAUUAUUCUAUGGUACAAGUAUCAAAUGCAAGAAAGCUCCAUAACCUUGAGAUGCAGAAUAAGGCCUCUAAGAUCAAUAUUUUUUUUUGUCCAAAAUAUUCUCUCCAAUGAAUAAAAAUAUCUUAUAUAUAUGCUCUCGGAUACAUAUGUGCAUUGAAUCUUAACUAAAUUUGAUAUAACAUGUGAACUCAUCCUCCCAAUUUAUCUACUCUACCAAACAAAGCAUUAAUGAAUCCAAUAAAUAUUCAAGUAGUUCCAAAGAGACAUGAUGACAUCAAAAUCAAAUAAAAAUCAGUAACUUAACGAGUUAAUUUCAUUAUGAACAUUAAAUCCAAUGAAGAAGAAAGUAAAAGCAUAACUUACCUUCGAUCCGACUAACCGCUUCACCUCGGAAUUUACCUAUAAACGCGAACAGUAUGAACAGUGUGAACAAUUAAUUGAACUAACAAGAUCAGCAUAUCCAACAAACAAAAACAAGUAAACACAAAUAAGAAAUUCUAAAAAAAAAGAAGAAUACCUGAACCACUAUAGGCAUAGCCAAUGAGAAGGAUAGCUCCCUGUAAACCAUUUUCAAAAAUAUUACCCUAGUUAAUUUCCUUUUCAAAAUGUAACACUAACUGAAAAUUUCAAAAAACAAAAAAGAAAUGAAAAGAUAAAGAUAUACCACAACGACAAGAGCGAUAGAUAAAAUAGGAGAAGAUCGGGCUUUAGAAUGUAAAGCACCAGAGAACGGGAAGUUUCCGCUGUCAACAAAGCGGCGUGUGGAACUUACUUGCCUCCUUGACAUUUUUGCUUUGCUUUUUACUCUUAUAAUAAUAUAUUUUAUGUAAUUGCUUACACUCUACCAAGCAAACAACAGAUUUACACAAAAUUUGAGCAAUUUCAUUGAAAAAACAAAACAGAUCCAAAAACAUGAGAAAGCUAACAUAAAAUGAAAGAAAUUAUGAAAUCAAAAAUCAAAAUUCACCUUAGAUUUGGAUUUUGGAUCUGAGAUCUGUGAAGGAAAAAAAGAAGCUUAUUUGGCUGUUUUUUUUCUUCGAACAGUAUACUAGUUUGAAUUUACACCAUUUUUGGCCAAAAAAGAGAAUUUAACAGCUAGUCGAGUUUGAAAGGGACUUGGGUUGGAUUGGAUACUCAGUAUUUUUAUUUUUAUUUUCAAUUUUUUUAAUUAAAUUUGUUUUUGCUUAAAGCUAAGAUCCAACGUGUUUUAGCGCGCCUUCGGGAGUUGUGUGAUACAUAUACAUAUACAGUUAUUAGCGCGUCGGUGAUAUGAUACGACGUCGCAUCAAUAGCUCGAAUAGCAAUGACGGCUAUUAGAUUUAAGGAUACCCUGCAAGUAAAAUAACAUUUCCUUCAAAAAAAAAUUAUAAAGUAAUUAUUAAAUUAUUUAAAACUUUUCGUUUAGAUAACUGGACUGUCAAAAUUUUUGUUGUUUAGUUUUCUAUUUGCAUAGCAUUUAUCAAUUGAAAAUUUUUAUUCCUCUUAUUUUUUACAGUUCAAUUUUUUUUUAUGAAAUAACUUUGAACGUAAUAAAUUUGAGAAUCAAAAUUCAACUAAUUUUUUUCUCCAGUCUUUGAAACUAACCAUCCGAUCGACUUAUAUCUAAAGUAUGUUCUACUCAUUAAUGAGUAUUAAUCACUACAUCGAUCAUUGAAUUUAUUAUUUGGAGUUCACUAAUAAUCCAAUGACAUAAAGAAAAACUUUUGAACAGAUCGAUUUUCUGCAUACUGGCUUGAAAGUGAUAGCAAAAUUUUGUUGCCCCAAUGGCAUGUUGAGCUUGAAAUGAAGAAAUAAAAAUCAAUGAAUCAUGUGCAAAACAUUUUGAAAUCAAAGUUAAAAGCAAUCUUAAAAUAAUCUAAAAGUUAAUACAUGCCAAUGAGUGCCAAUUACAAUACCAAUUGGAAAUAUAGACUACCUUGUCUCAUUUCAUGUUACGAGUUAUUUGAAGAGAAGACAAAUAGAAAUAUGGGUAAUCUCAUAAUAGGAAGCUAGAUUUACUUCCACAUUCAGAAAACAAUAUAACUAAAUAAAUCCAUGUCCACAACAAAUAGGUGUAAUUUUCCCCAUCGAUUGAAUUAAUAAAUAUCAAACCUGUAAUGUUAAGGGCAUUAACCCAUUGAUACCAACAUCUCUUUUACCAAAUUUAGUUCCCCAACAGAGUUACAUGUUGUAUGAGAGCUGAAGAUAUUUUUACUUCACCGUCAAUGCAUAUGACAAUAAAAAUAAUGGAAAUUUGAUCUUGAUGACUUUUCUCUUUGUAUCAGUGGUAUGGAUUUAGGUGGAAUACUUGACAUGCUGGCAGGUAUGAACUCUUUGAUGUAGCCUGCUCAAACUUCUUCACCGCAGUUUCAUUUUCUUUUAAACUACUUUGGUCGAAAAAACGAAUCCACCAAGAGGAACUCCGCAUUUUAGCCUUCAGAAACGAAACAGAUGUGUUAAUGAUAAGGUAAAUUUGAUCUUGAUACAUUCCGCAAAACAAAAAUGCUGAAUGACAGUUUUGAUUUUCGAUCAAAUGAAAGUUAAAUAUAUACUAUGGUUCGUUUAAAUUCCAAAUCCUGUUGUUAUAGUAGAUGGAGACUUACUGGACGGCCGAAUUUCGAUAGUUCUGCCACUUUAGCCUUCUGAUGACCAGGGGUACCUGAUCGACAAAUGAAAAUAUAUCAUGUUAUAGUUAUGGUACAGCUUUUUUGCAAGAAAAUAUAUCUGGAUAUAAGCAUUUUCGGCCCGAGUAACUCUUGUUUUAUAAUUUAUAUAGAACUUGAAAGAGUUAGGGAUUACCUGCGAAAAUAAUGAGACCAUCAGAGGCAACCCUGGCCAACUCAAGCAGAGUCUUGUUCAGGUAUUUUGGAGAUAAGUAAUCAAGUGCAUCAGACACAAUAACAAGAGAAAAAGACUUUGGCUUAUAGGGAAGAGGGUACUUGAUAUCUGCCACACGUACAAUCCCUUUGCCCACAAGACUCUUGCAACUUUCUUCAACAUCCUCUAUAUCAUAUGGUUCCACACCCCAGGCUUCAGUAUCCUCUUCUUUCAAAAGUUUAGAGACAACUGAACAGGUAUCGGGUCCUACAUGCAAAACCUUGUGCAUGCUGUCCCCAUAUGCCUUCUUCAAAAAUGGUAUUGCCCUCUGAACUUCUAGACUGCAUGUAUAGUCACCUACAAAGAUAACAAGAAAAUAAUUGAUUUUCAGAACAUUACACUCAAUGUAAUACACCCUUUCCAGAGCAUGGCAAUUCCAUUAUAAUCAUAGACUUUCAAUGUUCCAGUUACCACGGAAGACACAAACCAUAUCUAACUAAUAUAACCGCCUCUGAUAUCUUACAACUUACUUUCCUCUAAAAAGUUAAAAGCAUCAAAGGAUUCAUAUUACAUUUUGCUCCUUCUACUGCAAAAAUAGGCAAAUUAGUCACUAUAUAUUAGAUCAAAAAGCAAAUUGGUCCUUUCUUUUAAAAAUUCCAUCCUUUGUAUUGUUAAAAACUGACAUGGCUGAAAUAAUUAGACAGUGACACGAGGCACUAUCAAAGGAAAGAAAGUCCCAUAACCUUGAGAUGCAGAAGCAAGGCCUCUAAGAUCAAUAUUUUUUUUGUCCAAAAUAUUAUCUCCAAUGAAUAAAAAUAUCUUAUAUAUACGCUCUCGGAUGCAUAUGUGCAUUGAAUCUUAACUAAAUUUGAUAUAACAUGUGAACUCAUCCUCCCAAUUUAUCUACUCUACCAAACAAAGCAUUAGUGAAUCCACUAAAAUAUUCAAGUAGUUCCAAAGAGACAUGAUGACGUCAAAAUCAAAUAAAAAUCAAUAACUUAACGAGUUAAUUUCAUUAUGAACAUUAAAUCCAAUGAGGAAGAAAGUAAAAGCAUAACUUACC